rnacentral:rRNA from 1 species
AUACGGAGGAUCCGAGCGUUAUCCGGAUUUAUUGGGUUUAAAGGGAGCGUAGGCGGAUUAUUAAGUCAGUUGUGAAAGUUUGCGGCUCAACCGUAAAAUUGCAGUUGAUACUGGUAGUCUUGAGUGCAGCAGAGGUAGGCGGAAUUCGUGGUGUAGCGGUGAAAUGCUUAGAUAUCACGAAGAACUCCGAUUGCGAAGGCAGCUUACUGGACUGUAACUGACGCUGAUACUCGAAAGUGUGGGUAUCAAACAGGAUUAGAUACCCUGGUAGUCCACACAGUAAACGAUGAAUACUCGCUGUUUGCGAUAUACAGCAAGCGGCCAAGCGAAAGCAUUAAGUAUUCCACCUGGGGAGUACGCCGGCAACGGUGAAACUCAAAGGAAUUGACGGG